UGUGUGAAAACAAGGAAGUCUUAACUGACUUCUCCUCUGUUGGCAUGCAGCAAUCAUGACUGGUUUGGCGCUCCUCUGAAUGACUGAGUGUUCCCGUGCACAUCCCUGACUCCAGGCCUGCAUGCAAUGAUGGGAUCUACUGAUUGACUGACGGGUUCUGAUCAAGCGAUCCCAAGCGGCUGCGACAACUGGCACCCAACGUGGGGCGGAUCGAUGACAGGCCUGACUGAAAACCCCACGGGCAGAGUCUGCUAACUCCAGGAACAGAGCGUCAGCAAGCUUCGAGCUUCAGCCCGACAGAAUCAGGUCUCCUAGACAUUUCCCGUCCCUGGAGGUGGAGAAGGGUAUGCUUGUGUCUCAACAGGUGAAGGAGCAAAGUGGGUGCCAACAAAACCUCUCAAACUUGUCCCUACUCGGGAGACACCCCAGGAAGAAAAGGAGGAGACCCAGCAAGAGGAGGAGAUGAAAGAAAAUGAUGACAUCGACCAGUAGCACCUUGGCACUGCCGAGGUUGAGCUCAUUAAGUUGAAGCAGGAUCUCCUGUGUGACUAUAGAUACACUAGCCUUUGUGUGUCACCUCUCAUUCAUGAUAACAACACUUAACAAUUGGACGGUCAUACGCAACCAUCUAAAUGGUUUAUUUCUCAAUAACACCAUUGAGUCCAAUAUCGAGGGUCUUUACCAAUUGGCCUCUGCUAUAAAAAAUGCUACCAGGGAAGACUUAACCCAUGAUAAGACCGCAGAAAAAAUAUUACAUUGGUUUUAUAAUGCUUCUGCUUGGUGGGCUCUUUCACCCAUUUACUUAUUCUGCUUGUAUUCUUUGGAAUUCUCCUCUGCUGCUUACCUACUAUAAUUGGGUGUGUGCUGAAACUGUAGUAGAGAUGAUUCAUAAAAUCUCAGCCCAAGUACAAGUCCUAAUAGAGAUCCAUCCGCACAGGCAGCUCCUCUAUAAACAAAAAGGGGGAAUUGUCACACGAAUGAUCACGGGGCUGUGCCCUGCCUAUAGGAGUUCUGGCUUCCUCAGCAGGAAGCUGAGGGUCACAGUCUGUUGUGUGAAAACAAGGAAGUCUUAACUGACUUCUCCUCUGUUGGCAUGCAGCAGUCAUGACUGGUUCGGCGCUCCUCUGAAUGACUGAGUGUUCCCGUGCACAUCCCUGACUCCAGGCCUGUAUGCAAUGAUGGGAUCUACUGAUUGACUGACGGGUUCUGAUCACGCGAUCCCAAGGUGCUUUGAGGGCUAUAUAGGACACACCCAGCUAACAAUAAACAGAGCUUCUGCCA